UUUCAGCAACGGAUCUCUUGGCUCUCGCAUCGAUGAAGAACGCAGCGAAAUGCGAUAAGUAAUGUGAAUUGCAGAAUUCAGUGAAUCAUCAAAUCUUUGAACGCACCUUGCGCCUCUUGGUAUUCCGAGAGGCAUGCCUGUUUGAGUGUCAUUAAAUUCUC
rnacentral:rRNA from 1 species